AUUGAACGCUGGCGGCAGGCUUAACACAUGCAAGUCGAGCGGGGUGAUGGUGCUUGCACUAUCACUUAGCGGCGGACGGGUGAGUAAUGUUUAGGAAUCUGCCUAUUAGUGGGGGACAACAUCUCGAAAGGGAUGCUAAUACCGCAUACGUCCUACGGGAGAAAGCAGGGGAUCACUUGUGACCUUGCGCUAAUAGAUGAGCCUAAGUCGGAUUAGCUAGUUGGUGGGGUAAAGGCCUACCAAGGCGACGAUCUGUAGCGGGUCUGAGAGGAUGAUCCGCCACGCUGGGACUGAGACACGGCCCAGACUCCUACGGGAGGCAGCAGUGGGGAAUAUUGGACAAUGGGGGGAACCCUGAUCCAGCCAUGCCGCGUGUGUGAAGAAGGCCUUAUGGUUGUAAAGCACUUUAAGCGAGGAGGAGGCUCUUUUGGUUAAUACCCAAGAUGAGUGGACGUUACUCGCAGAAUAAGCACCGGCUAACUCUGUGCCAGCAGCCGCAGUAA
rnacentral:rRNA from 1 species